AUUGAACGCUGGCGGAAUGCUUUACACAUGCAAGUCGAACGGUAGAGGGGGCAACCCCUUGAGAGUGGCGAACGGGUGAGUAAUAUAUCGGAACGUGCCCAGUCGUGGGGAUAACGUAGCGAAAGUUACGCUAAUACCGCAUACGAUCUAAGGAUGAAAGCGGGGGAUCGCAAGACCUCGCGCGAUUGGAGCGGCCGAUAUCAGAUUAGGUAGUUGGUGAGGUAAAGGCUCACCAAGCCAACGAUCUGUAGCUGGUCUGAGAGGACGACCAGCCACACUGGAACUGAGACACGGUCCAGACUCCUACGGGAGGCAGCAGUGGGGAAUUUUGGACAAUGGACGCAAGUCUGAUCCAGCCAUUCCGCGUGCAGGAUGAAGGCCCUCGGGUUGUAAACUGCUUUGUACGGAACGAAAGGUUUGUCUUAAUACGAUGAGCUCAUGACGGUACCGUAAGAAUAAGCACCGGCUAACUACGUGCCAGCAGCCG
rnacentral:rRNA from 1 species